rnacentral:rRNA from 1 species
GACGAACGCUGGCGGCGUGCCUAACACAUGCAAGUCGAACGCGAAAGGGGCUUCGGCCCUGAGUAGAGUGGCGAACGGGUGAGUAACACGUGGGUGAUCUACCUUUGAGUGGGGGAUAACGUUCCGAAAGGAGCGCUAAUACCGCAUGACGUUCCGGGGUUGAAGACCUGGAAACCAAAGUCGGGGCCCUUAGGGAAACUUAAGGCCUGACGCUUGGAGAGGAGCCCGCGCCUGAUUAGCUAGUUGGUGAGGUAACGGCUCACCAAGGCGACGAUCAGUAGCCGGCCUGAGAGGGCGGACGGCCACACUGGGACUGAGACACGGCCCAGACUCCUACGGGAGGCAGCAGUGGGGAAUUUUCCGCAAUGGGCGAAAGCCUGACGGAGUGACGCCGCGUGUGGGACGAAGGCCUU